rnacentral:pre_miRNA from 1 species
UGGGGGGGGGGGGGGGUCCUCAGCGAGGAUUGCAAGGGCGCAGGCCAGGCUGAGGGACCCCACCAGUGUAUG